UGUUGUGAAGGGGCUAGAACGGAACUCGAUUGGAAUUGAAUUAUGCCUCCCUCCAGGAACACGAUACUAAAGAGAAAGAAAACCCAGCUCCCAAUGGCUACGAGAAGCGUGGAAUCUAACUAGGAGCCGUCGGUACAGGGACAGCUUCCUCUCCUCUUGGAAUGAAGAGUCGGGUGUGGUCCAGGGAAGACUCACCUGCCCUCUGCACUCUGGGCUUGGUUUCCUCGAUCCCUCCAGCCUCCCGCCUGCAACAGGCUGUGUCUCCUUGACCCAAGGACACCCGCCCUGUCACCUUAUGGUCACACUUUCUCGGACA
rnacentral:lncRNA from 1 species